AAGUCGUAACAAGGUUUCCGUAGGUGAACCUGCGGAGGAUCAUUGUCGAAACCUGGAAAGCAAAACGACCCGUGAACAUGUACUUAUAAUUAGGAGAUGGGGGAAUUGGCGAAGGCCUCGAUCCCUAUUUCCUGUUGGUGUGCGUUUGUGCUGCCCCAUUUGGAGUGCCACGGACGUUUCGCUAACAACCUAACCAACCCCGGCACGGAAUGUGCCAAGGAAAACCAAACAAAAGAAGGGUGCGCCUCGUGUUGCCCCGUUUGCGGUGUGCAUGCGGGUUGUGGCCUUUUGUAAACACAAAACGACUCUCGGCAACGGAUAUCUCGGCUCACGCAUCGAUGAAGAACGUAGCAAAAUGCGAUACUUGGUGUGAAUUGCAGAAUCCCGUGAACCAUCGAGUUUUUGAACGCAAGUUGCGCCCAAAGCCAUCCGGCCGAGGGCACGCCUGCCUGGGCGUCACGCAUCGCGUCGCUCCCCCAUGUAUCCUUUUGGGAUGCAUAGUAUCGGGGCGGAGAUUGGUCUCCCGUGAUCUUGUUGCGGUUGGCCCAAACACGAGUCCCUUUUGGUGGAUGCACGACUAGUGGUGGUUGAAUAGGCCCUCUUCUUUUGUUGUGUGUCGUUUGCUAUUAGGGAUCUUCUUGUAUAAGACCCCAAUGCAUUGUCCAACGAUGAUGCUUUGACCGCGACCCCAGGUCAGGCGGGACUACCCGCUGAGUUUAA
rnacentral:rRNA from 1 species